CGUGUGUGACGAAGUGGGACUGUUCUUAAUGUUCCCUCUGAAUACUGUGGGGGUGCCUCAGUUUCCCCUAGGCAGUUCUUACGUCUCUAG